UUUCAGUCCAAACUAGAUCUGUUAUCGCUCUAAAAAGAGACUGUAAUGUCGAAAGAUUUGCAUUCAGAUGUAGAGAAAUCUGAGACCCCUUUGAAGCCAUUCAAGAUUUUCGUAGGCUAUGAUCCACGAGAAGAUGUUGCGUAUGAGGUUUGUCGUUAUUCCCUUUUGAAAAGAUCAUCAAUUCCACUUGAGAUAACACCCAUUAAGCAAUGUGAGUUGAG
rnacentral:misc_RNA from 1 species